rnacentral:lncRNA from 1 species
ACAUGCGUUACGAUUCAUUUUCAAACAAAUUAAGUCAAAACAGAAAGUGAAACGUACGCCGAUGUGUGUAGUAUAUAGUAUACAGUAUACAAUAUACUUUAUGAAUUUUAUUAACUUUUUACAACACCUUUUUGUGAACAACCACAACUUACUUAUACCCUGAUGAUGUAAACAAUUAAUUAAAGUUUACGAAAGCUUGGAUCAAGUAAA